rnacentral:rRNA from 1 species
GAUGAACGCUGGCGGCGUGCUUAACACAUGCAAGUCGAGCGAGAAGUUUUGAAAAGAUUCUUCGGAUGAAAUUUAAAAUGGAAAGCGGCGGCCGGGUGAGUAACGCGUAGGCAACCUGCCCCAUACAAAGGGAUAGCAUUUGGAAACGAAUAUUAAUACCUUAUGAAACUUAACUAUUGCAUGCUAGGUAGGUCAAAGGUUUAUCGGUAUGGGAUGGGCCUGCGUCUGGUUAGCUAGUUGGUGAGGUAACGGCCCACCAAGGCGACGAUCAGUAGCCGACCGGAGUGGGUGAACGGCCACAUUGGAACUGGGGCACGGUCCAAACACCUUCGGGAGGCAGGCGUGGGGAAUAUUGCACAAUGGGGCAAAACCUGAUGCAGCAACGCCGCGUGAACGAUGAAGGCCUUGGGGUCGUAAAGUUCUGUUCUAGGUGAUGAAAACUGACAGUAACCUAGGAGAAAGCCCCGGCUAACUCCGUG